UACGGGGGGGCAAGCGUUGUUCGGAAUUACUGGGCGUAAAGCGCGUGUAGGCGGCUCUUCAAGUCGGACGUGAAAGCCCUGGGCUUAACCCAGGAACUGCGUUUGAUACUGUAGAGCUAGAGUGUGGAAGGGGCAACUGGAAUUCCCAGUGUAGCGGUGAAAUGCGUAGAUAUUGGGAAGAACACCUGAGGCGAAGGCGGGUUGCUGGGCUGACACUGACGCUGAGGCGCGAAAGCCAGGGGAGCAAACGGG
rnacentral:rRNA from 1 species